rnacentral:rRNA from 1 species
UCAAGACGGUUGUAACGACGCAGCACUUGUAUACGAACUCACUAUAGGCGAUUGAAUUAGCGCCGCGACUCGCCUGUGCCAGCAGCCGCGGUAAUUCCAGCUCCAAUAGCGUAUAUUUAAGUUGUUGCAGUUAAAAAGCUCGUAGUUGGAUUUCGGGCAAGGGCGAGCGGUCCGCCGUUUCGGUGUGCACUGCCUGGCCUUGUCUUUCUGUCGGGGACGCGCUCCUGGCAUUUAUUUGCUGGGACGUGGAAUCGGCGAUGUUACUUUGAAUAAAUUAGAGUGUUCAAAGCAGGCUUUUGCUCUGAAUACAUUAGCAUGGAAUAACGCGAUAGGACUCCGGCCUAUUUGUUGGUCUGUAGGAUCGGAGUAAUGAUUAAGAGGGACAGUUGGGGGCAUUCGUAUUUCAUUGUCAGAGGUGAAAUUCUUGGAUUUAUGAAAGACGAACUUCUGCGAAAGCAUUUGCCAAGGAUGUUUUCAUUAAUCAAGAACGAAAGUUGGGGGCUCGAAGACGAUUAGAUACCGUCGUAGUCUCAACCAUAAACGAUGCCGACUAGGGAUUGGUGGAUGUUGAUUCGAUGACUUCACCAGCACCUUAUGAGAAAUCAAAGUUUUUGGGUUCCGGGGGGAGUAUGGUCGCAAGGCUGAAACUUAAAGGAAUUGACGGAAGGGCACCACCAGGCGUGGAGCCUGCGGCUUAAUUUGACUCAACACGGGGAAACUUACCAGGUCCAGACAUAGUAAGGAUUGACAGAUUGAGAGCUCUUUCUUGAUUCUAUGGGUGGUGGUGCAUGGCCGUUCUUAGUUGGUGGAGUGAUCUGUCAGGUUGAUUCCGGUAACGAACGAGACCUCAGCCUACUAAAUAGUCACGUCGAGUACGCUCGACGGCCGACUUCUUAGAGGGACUAUCGGCGUGUAGUCGAUGGAAGUUUGAGGCAAUAACAGGUCUGUGAAUGCCAGGGCCGAUCCGUUUAACUGGCAGGAC